GAUGAACGCUGGCGGCGUGCCUAAUACAUGCAAGUCGAGCGAACAGACGAGGAGCUCGCUCCUCUGACGUUAGCGGCGGACGGGUGAGUAACACGUGGAUAACCUACCUAUAAGACUGGGAUAACUUCGGGAAACCGGAGCUAAUACCGGAUAAUAUAUUGAACCGCAUGGUUCAAUAGUGAAAGACGGUUUUGCUGUCACUUAUAGAUGGAUCCGCGCCGCAUUAGCUAGUUGGUAAGGUAACGGCUUACCAAGGCGACGAUGCGUAGCCGACCUGAGAGGGUGAUCGGCCACACUGGAACUGAGACACGGUCCAGACUCCUACGGGAGGCAGCAGUAGGGAAUCUUCGGCAAUGGGCGAAAGCCUGACGGAGCAACGCCGCGUGAGUGAUGAAGGUCUUCGGAUCGUAAAACUCUGUUAUUAGGGAAGAACAAAUGUGUAAGUAACUAUGCACGUCUUGACGGUACCUAAUCAGAAAGCCACGGCUAACUACGUG
rnacentral:rRNA from 1 species